rnacentral:lncRNA from 1 species
UGGCAGUGCAGGUUCAAAAUGAAGAAGGCAAGUGUGAGGUGACGGAAGUGAGUAAGCUUGAUGGAGAGGCAUCCAUUAACAAUCGCAAAGGGAAACUUAUCUUCUUUUAUGAAUGGAGCGUCAAACUAAACUGGACAGGUACUUCUAAGUCAGGAGUACAAUACAAAGGACAUGUGGAGAUCCCCAAUUUGUCUGAUGAAAACAGCGUGGAUGAAGUGGAGAUUAGUGUGAGCCUUGCCAAAGAUGAGCCUGACACAAAUCUCGUGGCCUUAAUGAAGGAAGAAGGGGUGAAACUUCUAAGAGAAGCAAUGGGAAUUUACAUCAGCACCCUCAAAACAGAGUUCACCCAGGGCAUGAUCUUACCUACAAUGAAUGGAGAGUCAGUAGACCCAGUGGGGCAGCCAGCACUGAAAACUGAGGAGCGCAAGGUAA